rnacentral:rRNA from 1 species
UACAGAGGGUGCAAGCGUUAAUCGGAAUUACUGGGCGUAAAGGGUGCGUAGGUGGACGCAUAAGUCGGAUGUGAAAUCCCUGGGCUUAACCUAGGAACUGCAUUCGAAACUGUGAGUCUAGAGUAUGGUAGAGGUAAGUGGAAUUUCCGGUGUAGCGGUGAAAUGCGUAGAUAUCGGAAGGAACAUCAGUGGCGAAGGCGACUUACUGGACUGAUACUGACACUGAGGCACGAAAGCGUGGGGAGCAAACAGG